AGAGUUUGAUCAUGGCUCAGAUUGAACGCUGGCGGCAGGCCUAACACAUGCAAGUCGAACGGUAACAGGAAGCAGCUUGCUGCUUCGCUGACGAGUGGCGGACGGGUGAGUAAUGUCUGGGAAACUGCCUGAUGGAGGGGGAUAACUACUGGAAACGGUAGCUAAUACCGCAUAACGUCGCAAGACCAAAGAGGGGGACCUUCGGGCCUCUUGCCAUCGGAUGUGCCCAGAUGGGAUUAGCUAGUAGGUGGGGUAACGGCUCACCUAGGCGACGAUCCCUAGCUGGUCUGAGAGGAUGACCAGCCACACUGGAACUGAGACACGGUCCAGACUCCUACGGGAGGCAGCAGUGGGGAAUAUUGCACAAUGGGCGCAAGCCUGAUGCAGCCAUGCCGCGUGUAUGAAGAAGGCCUUCGGGUUGUAAAGUACUUUCAGCGGGGAGGAAGGGAGUAAAGUUAAUACCUUUGCUCAUUGACGUUACCCGCAGAAGAAGCACCGGCUAACUCCGUGCCAGCAGCCGCGGUAAUACGGAGGGUGCAAGCGUUAAUCGGAAUUACUGGGCGUAAAGCGCACGCAGGCGGUUUGUUAAGUCAGAUGUGAAAUCCCCGGGCUCAACCUGGGAACUGCAUCUGAUACUGGCAAGCUUGAGUCUCGUAGAGGGGGGUAGAAUUCCAGGUGUAGCGGUGAAAUGCGUAGAGAUCUGGAGGAAUACCGGUGGCGAAGGCGGCCCCCUGGACGAAGACUGACGCUCAGGUGCGAAAGCGUGGGGAGCAAACAGGAUUAGAUACCCUGGUAGUCCACGCCGUAAACGAUGUCGACUUGGAGGUUGUGCCCUUGAGGCGUGGCUUCCGGAGCUAACGCGUUAAGUCGACCGCCUGGGGAGUACGGCCGCAAGGUUAAAACUCAAAUGAAUUGACGGGGGCCCGCACAAGCGGUGGAGCAUGUGGUUUAAUUCGAUGCAACGCGAAGAACCUUACCUGGUCUUGACAUCCACAGAACUUUCCAGAGAUGGAUUGGUGCCUUCGGGAACUGUGAGACAGGUGCUGCAUGGCUGUCGUCAGCUCGUGUUGUGAAAUGUUGGGUUAAGUCCCGCAACGAGCGCAACCCUUAUCCUUUGUUGCCAGCGGUCCGGCCGGGAACUCAAAGGAGACUGCCAGUGAUAAACUGGAGGAAGGUGGGAUGACGUCAAGUCAUCAUGGCCCUUACGACCAGGGCUACACACGUGCUACAAUGGCGCAUACAAAGAGAAGCGACCUCGCGAGAGCAAGCGGACCUCAUAAAGUGCGUCGUAGUCCGGAUUGGAGUCUGCAACUCGACUCCAUGAAGUCGGAAUCGCUAGUAAUCGUGGAUCAGAAUGCCACGGUGAAUACGUUCCCGGGCCUUGUACACACCGCCCGUCACACCAUGGGAGUGGGUUGCAAAAGAAGUAGGUAGCUUAACCUUCGGGAGGGCGCUUACCACUUUGUGAUUCAUGACUGGGGUGAAGUCGUAACAAGGUAACCGUAGGGGAACCUGCGGUUGGAUCACCU
rnacentral:rRNA from 1 species